GAGCGCGACCCGCCAACACAAGACCCGACCCGAGAACUCCAACAACAGCCACAACAAUCAGAUCCGAACAACUGCCAAUCAUCGAGAGGCAAGCAGCGAGCAACGAACACGGCGCGGCGAACGGCGAUAGCGGCGUUGGCGUCCACGAACAUUGACCUUCAUUAGAGAACAAGAGGAAGAACCAGAACCAGCAGCAGCUCCAACAUAGUUUUAAGCUCUCUAGCUCUCUCACUGCCGUUGUUGUUGUUGCUGGUGCUGUAGGCCAUCAAUCAGUCACUCACUCUCUUGCUCGCUCACUCAAGUCAAGCGCAGCUUAUUUCCCCUUUCAGUACUUCCCGAACGAGGCAGUGGCUGUUUUGGUGCAGCGCUGGACACGCUCUAGACGGACUUUAUUCAAACGGCGAUAGAUGCUACCUGCGAAUGGAUUAUGGGAACACCGACCACAGAAACAACAGCACCAAACGAAAUGCAAAAUGCGUUACCUUGCUUCUGGGAGGAACGGGAACGGGAUCGGACACGGACAGGAGAGGAGGGGAGCACAGAGCACAGCACAGCACUCACUUCUCGCUUAGAGCUGAAUCACCAUAAGCCCAAAGCCACGAAAGAAUAAAUAAUAAGUGACUUUGGACAGGCAGACAAGCGGAGGAACAGGGAGAAAGAGGGGGAGAUACAUAUAUCUAAUAAGAAAUCAGCAAAAGCCGCAUCUAAAAAA
rnacentral:sRNA from 1 species